UGGCUGUGCCGGACGGCUCCCCUGCCCAGAAUGGUGGCUUCACACAAAAAAGUUAUACUCAACCAGAAGAAUGAAGCUGUUAACAAAGAUCGAAGACUCAUAUCCCCAGGAGAUGGAAUUUUCAAGGCGCUGGACAAUGAUUUUGGAAUUCUCUGUCAGUGUCACCCACAAGCUCACAACACCAUGAACAGUAAGAACCAGAAGAUGCCCAUAUAUUCUUAAUAGAGAAUCAGCACCAUCCCAGCCAUGAAGCUCAGCUACAACCUCAAAUAACCCAACUCCUCACACGGACUGACCCAGCCACAUUCAGCUGACUGAAAGCACAAGAUGUCCUGCCAGCCAGGGUGCAUUACCUCACAGUGGCCCUAAGAGGCAUGCUCAGAAGCAUAUUUUGCCAUUCCUUUCAACAGAUGCCAAGUGUGCCUAACCUAAUAGCCGCUCCCAACAACACCGACAUACUUUACCUAGCGGCGGGGGCUGGAGCCAUCUUCCCAAACUGUAAGCUUAUGCUUCAAAUAAGUCAUUUGGUGUAAGUCAAUAGAUAUUCUUUCCUAAAAUUCUUUCCUAAUACUCUCACAAUGUAGUACAAAACCACAAUGUGGUACAAAAAUGAUAUUCUUUCCUACUACUCUCAAGAGCUAUAAAAAAAAAAAAUAAUCUUACCCUGCUAUUUGCCAAGGAAACAGGUAUCGGUGGAAAAGUCGCUCGCUCCCUGUCGCUCUUGAACACAAACAUGGAAUGGGGACUGACUACAAUUGUGCAAAAUCAACCAAUCAAGUUUGUAAUCUAAACCAAAAAAAGUCAUUGGGGAUGGAAGCUGAAGCAAAUUUUUUAACAAAGUUGAAAAAAAUAAUUUCAAGUCAAACAAAACAUUUGAUUAAGUCCAAAAUUCAGUGUUUCAAAAUUUAGAGAUUUUUUUUCACACUUUCAAAAAAAAUUGAAGGAAAAUUCUAAAUGAAAACUCAUUUUCAAUUAUAAAAUAAGUUUCAUUUGGAAAGUGUCUCCAUAAAAUGUGAUUUUCUGUUCAGAAUUUUUUUUUAAAACAAACCAUUUCUGAAAUGUGUCAAUCAACCCAAAUCUGCAUUUUUCAGCAAUAUUAUUUCACGUAAUUCUAGACGUAACCACUAGCUGUUUUUGGAUGGGUUGGCCUGAGCAUACCAUUUUGGAAAGACAUCUAACAUCUGCAACAAAUAUCAGCCUUAGUUAACAGUCACAUGUUGGAAGGAAUCUUUCACUCAAAUACAUCAUCCUAUCUUAUCAAUUUCAAAAUUAUUUUCCAUUAGUCCGAUUUAUUUGGGGAAGACAUUUUUCUCAGCCCGCCACUGUUGUCCAGAUGUUACUGAUCACAGUAAAUGUCCACAGCACUAUAUCUGGAAGAUUAAUUACUGGGAUUUUGUUUCUUUUGCAGAUCAUCUAAAGAGAAACAUUGAUGAACUGUCUAAAUUUAGGUCCCUAAUAUGUGCCAGUCUACGCAGUGCUGUGAGGAGCCAACCAGGGCUUGACAAUGGUUAGCAUGUCUUAUAUGGUAAGUUGUAAUGUUUGAGAUUGAGCUCUGAGACAUGAAAUUGACCACAGGUGUAUCUCUACAGCUGAUGAAAUGUCCCUGAGGUUCUGUGUGCAGAAAAUGCAUGUGUCAUAUUGCAGUGUUGCUUCUGCUGUUUUAUAUAUUCUGGGCCUGAUGUUCAGAGAUGCUGAACUCCAGCUAAUGCCAAAUGCUGCAAGUGCUCAACCAUUCUGAAAAACAGAUCCUACUGAUUUUGGGAAAUGUGAUGCUAUCAGCAGGCCUUUUAUACUUCAUUGUAGAUUUCUCAUUACGUAGCUGGCUAGAGACAUCUCUUUGGUCAGGACCUGUCUGCUCUGACAUCCACUGCCAAUAUAGUACAGCACACUGCUUACUUAUUAUGUGACGAAUAUGUCCAUUUCUUUGUGGGACAUGCAGUUUCUGGGAUCAUACUUCAGGAGAGUAUCUGUUACAUAUACACAUUUAGGUCCUCUAGUUUAAGAUAGCAAUACCCUCAUUAGUAUUCAUUUCACCAAUUGUGAUCUUCAUUCCCAUGCAUUAAACAGUUUUUUAAAAGUAAUCAACAAGCCUGUAAAUCACAUAUAUGUAUUAUUUAAGAUGAACUUACAUAAAUAUGCCACGACUGCAUCUGGAUACAGGAUCUCCUCAUCAUUAUAGGCCACAUUUAGGGAGGUAUUGCGUUGCAUGGUCUGGUUCAGUAUUUUAUUCACUCAUUGUUGGAGAAGCAGGCUAUACAUUUGUAUCUAUACUUCAUAUUUUACUUACCUUUCCCCCCUCCCUUUAGUGCAAGUUGGGGGAUCUUUGCCAACCUCAGAUUUGUGGGAAAACUUCACAUGUAGCCAGGCAUAUUGUCUAGCUAUCAUCUGACAGUCUGAAUAUGCUGAAGUGGUCACACCUUCCUCACUUAUUUGAAGGUUGAGUCCAAUGUAUUGGUAGGAUAUACACAAACCAUGUGUGUUGUUACAGUGACACUUUAAACAGUUCAAUAGUAUAAGGACUGCAGUCUGGUUUCUUCACAUAAAAACGGAAAGCGACUGUCUAGGAAGGAAUACUGCAGAAAGGGAUCUAGGGAUCAUAAUGGACCACAAGU